CGCGGGUCUCGCAGCCGGACGCUCGCUAUCUCUCUCUUUGUGCUCAUGCAGCAGCCCAGGGGCGUCGCACCCGUGGGGGAUGUGGGUGUUUUAACAUCCACACUUUUCCCAGUGAGAGGGUUCAACACCCACACUUUUUAUGCAGUUUUGCAAGAACGCCUUAUUAAAGUCGCUCCUCCAUUUCUCUCUCUGGCCGCUCUCUGUCUGCUGCGCUGCCCUGCAUUCUCUCCCCCUCCCCUCUCAAACAUGACGCCGGCUUUGAGUGUUACCGGCUGAUGAUUGGCUGUUCUGCCUUAAGUCCCGCCUCUCUUGGUGGGUUAGAUUGAUCGGUCAGCUCGCGCUGAGGAGGCGGGAACUUUGUUUAUUUACAUCUCCCUUUUUCAGUAUCAAUAAGAUACAGAAAAGAAAGAGGCAGGAGAAGAUUGACACCUUUUUCAAGAGAAAUCCUGAGAUGAGGUUGCUGGAGGCAUCAGUUUAAAGAGAGAGAGAGACACAGAAAGUUUCACAGGUGAGCAAUGAAAAAUGAAUGUUACAGUUUGUGAAAGAGGUCUAUGAAGGAAGAGAGGGUGUGUUUGUGUCAUGGGUGGUGCUUAAUUCCAUCCCAGGUGCACAUACGCGUGUUUCUGGUGCGUUUAUAUCAAAUUUAAAAUGAUAUAUAUCCAUCCCCCACACUU